rnacentral:misc_RNA from 1 species
GUGAAUCAUCGAAUUUUUGAACGCAAAUUGCACUCCCUGGUAUUCCGGAGAGUAUGCCUGUUUGAGGGUCAGUUUAAAUAAAAAUCGGUGUGGUUGCUGCUUCUCGUGGUGACGCACCGGAUUUGGGUCGUCUUGUCUUCGGCUAAGUGACAUAAAAUAUUGCAUGUUUUUUUUCGAACGUAUUUAAAUGAUUUUACGUACGUUAGAGAUAUCGAAUACUAGGUGUGGUCGUACUCAUGCUUCGCGCCU